rnacentral:rRNA from 1 species
GAUGAACGCUGGCGGCGUGCCUAAUACAUGCAAGUCGAGCGAACGGACGAGAAGCUUGCUUCUCUGAUGUUAGCGGCGGACGGGUGAGUAACACGUGGAUAACCUACCUAUAAGACUGGGAUAACUUCGGGAAACCGGAGCUAAUACCGGAUAAUAUUUUGAACCGCAUGGUUCAAAAGUGAAAGACGGUCUUGCUGUCACUUAUAGAUGGAUCCGCGCUGCAUUAGCUAGUUGGUAAGGUAACGACUUACCAAGGCAACGAUGCAUAGCCGACCUGAGAGGGUGAUCGGCCACACUGGAACUGAGACACGGUCAAGACUCCUACGGGAGGCAGCAGUAGGGAAUCUUCCGCAAUGGGCGAAAGCCUGACGGAGCAACGCCGCGUGAGUGAUGAAGGUCUUCGGAUCGUAAAACUCUGUUAUUAGGGAAGAACAUAUGUGUAAGUAACUGUGCACAUCUUGACGGUACCUAAUCAGAAAGCCACGGCUAACUACGUG